GGCCUCCCAAAUCUUACCACAGGCUGUGUUCUUUACACUGGCUGUAUAGAAAGAGGAGGUACAGUAAAGGCACCCUAAAAAAAAAUUUUGCAAAAGUAUCUUAACAUUCAAAAACAAGAUAUUUAAAUAUACCUAA